rnacentral:lncRNA from 1 species
UGCCUGAUGACUCCCCAGUUAGGACUUAAGGCACUACAUGCUGUUCCCCGAUCCAGCCGGGCUCCUGGAAACUUUCCUACUUGCCCACCAGGUUUGGAUGCUCUGUUGAGAUCAGUGGGGGUGGGGCCGGGGUGGGCGUUGGCCCAAGGGGGACAUCCAUGCAGCUACCCAGACUGGCUGUCUCUGAGGCCUGAGCUCAGGUCACCAUGUUGUCCACCAGGCCCUGCUCUGCCUCUGGGGAUCCUGGUGUGGUGGUGUCUGUUGACCUGCAGUGUUAUGCCAGGGGACAGGAGUCGGGUGUGGGGGGUGUGGGGGGUGGGGGACACUGUGCAGACCUUCACAUCUUCAGUCCCCUAAGCAAACAGGUGAGCCCUUUUUGCUCUGCGUGUCUUCCUGAAGAUGCAGUAUCUUUCUUUCUCUUUCUUUGCUUCCUCAAUGCAAAUAUCAUUAGUAUCCAUGGGCCUAAAUGAAACCAGGCUCGUAUGUGUGUGUGUGUGUGUGUGUGUGUGUGCUGUGUGUUUCUUGUCAAGAUCAGGAAAUGAUUCCAAAGUGGACAUUCCCACCAGGCUCUGUGGACUGUGGGUGGUUUGGUGUGGGUGUGCUGUGGCCAGCACAGGUCUGUCUGUUCUUGGAAUCUGAUGUUUGCAAAAGUCCCAGAGGACUGGUUUCAGAAUAAUCCUCUGUCCUUCACACCUCCUGGGGAGAAGACACCUGAGGGGAUUGUCCCUUUCCCUCAGCUCAAGUCACCUGAACAUGUAUCACUGCCUUCCCUUUGAUGACCUAUGACCCCGGCACCUGUGGAGUCUGUCAGUCUGGGGUGGGCUGGGUACCUGGAGGAGGCAGAGGUAAGGUCACUACCCAAGGAGCAGGUCCAGAUGUGUCUUCCUUUGGAGGCAAAUGGUGUCAACAAGUGGGCCCGCAGGCACUGGAGCUCACCAUCUGGGAGCAGAGGGCUGGGAACUUCCUGUGUCCUGGGCAUUUGAGGACGGGGACAGUUGGUGGGUGAACAGCAGGUGAGGCACACCUGUGUGUGUCAGGCAGCAGACAGAGGUAUGGGAAGAUUUCUGAAGCGACAUGUAGGCAGAGAUGCCUCGGGGUUCAGGGAAGUACCUGGGAUGUAAGGUACCCAGGGCCGACCAUGGUGGGAGCUGUCACUGUGCUCAGGACCCGGGGCACAGGGGAGCAGAGCGGCCGGAGCUGAGUGCAGAGCACAGGCUGAUGGAGGGAGGCUGAUCGGAGAACCCGCAGCUCCCAGGGACAUCACCACACAAGGAGAGCGGACGAUCCUGGCACCUCCUCUCCUCCUCCUCUGUCCCGACUCCUGCCGGUGCCGCUGCCCACCCGCGAGAGUCCCGCGAGAGCUGGAAGGGGACGGCCUGGGGCUGUGUUCCAGGAACAGGGCCAGGACAGGAGUUAGGUGACUGGGUUCUAGCUCCGCCUCUGCCACUCAUUUCUCCUGGGAUGUGUGACAGGUCUCUUUGCCAUGUUGGGUCUGGGUUCCUCCUCUGGGAAAGUCACACCCUGGAUGAAACUGUGUGUCUCAAGCUUGCUACAGGCAUUGCUCGGGGACUCAGGAAGACCGAGGAGGCACACACUGCAGCUCAAGGCCAGCCCUCCCCUGGGGCAGGAGUGGCACCCCAGCCAGUGGGAGCUGCUUCUGGGCCUCAGGGCUUCAUCCUGUGGCUGCUGCAAAGCGCACUUGAAGUCGUCCCUGGGCAGCUGGGGAGGGGGCUUGCCUGUGGGUCCAUCCUAGGAGGCUUGGGCACGGUGGGACCACUCUGAUGGACUCUCUUGAGCCUCAGAGGGCACAUGACACUGACUCCACUCAUAAUGGGGGUGCAAAGUCUCAUUAGGAAAAUUCUUCACCAGAGUUUUUAAAUCCACAGUUUGAAGAAGCAUGUGGGUAAGGACAGAGAAUGUGGAUUUGACAAAGAACCCACUGUGGUGGUCGUGGGGGUGAUGAGCAAAUGAUUAAUUACUGGAAGAAACAACACCGAUUCUGCACAUGUGCUUCUAAAAAAAAUAAUGAAAAUGGGGUAUUUUCCAGUCCAUUGGGUGAAGCCAGCAAUACGUUGAUACAUAAACCAGACAGACAAUCACCAGAAAAGAAGACUGCGGACCUUGUGAACCUCCACGCAAGAAUUCUUAACAUUUUUUUAUUAAGCAAAUGGAAUCCAACAAUACAUAGAGCAGAUAUGCUUUUGAAAGUCUGUUGAAAUCCAAAACCCGUUUGUGAUAAAAGGUCUCCGGGAACUAGGAAUAGAAAGGAAUGUCCUCAACUUGACAAAAAAAAAAAAGCAUCUACAGGAAACCCACAGCCAACAUCACACAAAUGGUGAAAGACUGAGUCCCCCCCCCCAAUCAUAAAUAAAAGAACAAAUGAACCCCCAAAGAAUGUGCGGAAGAUUUGAACAGACAUUUCACCGAAGAAGAUACAGAGCUGGACCUCACGGGUCGUUAGGGAAACCCACAUUCCAACACUGGAUGCCACUAUCCACCCCUUAGGACAGCUCUUUCUUGAGGUUUGCAGGACCUUAUUUUUAAACUCUGCUUCCCCCAGGUGAUUGGCUGCCUCUACUGUAACCCAGGAGGCCCACGCCCGCUCCCAACCCCUGCCCUGCGGAGGGACUCUCCUCCUGCCCUGUGUAGACCUGCACCAUUCUUAACUUUUUUCCUUUGGCAUCUUGUAGGAGCAAAAAAAGAACUUUCGCUGAGUAUAAAUAGCAUCACUUGGUGACAGGAGCAGGUGUGUGGUGGUAGAAAGAGAGCAGAGGUUGUUGGGAUUCAGGGUUCCUGCGCCACCUCCCUGUGUUAUCCUCCGGGAUCUCAACUUCCACCCCGACUUCUUCUCCCCGGAUGGGCCCGUCCCAACAUCUCCUGCACCCACCUGCUGUCCCAGCCUCCCCGGGGCCUCUCUGGCUCUUCCUUCCUCCCAAAUCCACAUCUAGUUCUUUCCCAGGUGUGCGCAUGCAGGUGUCCCCACCUCGGACCCAAUGCCAGCCACGGCCUGGGCAUCUCCCCCCAUCGGGAGGCACCCACUUUCUUGCAGUAAGGCUUCCGGGCUGCCCUUCUGCCCCCCAUCACUAAUCCACAGGCUGUGCACGCGGUCCCGAGGCAGCCUGGGUACCUCAUGGUCUGGGUCACCUAGACUUUAGAAAAAGAGAGUGAGAUCUCAGGCAGAGCUGGAAGCUGGGUGGACACUGUGGUCCUUGUUAAAAUGACUUAUUGCAAAAAUUUUAAACUUACACAAGAGCAAGGGAGAGCAGGAUCUGUCACGCAGCCUACGUCACGUCACACAGCUUCCACAAUUACCUUCUCAUGGCCAGCCCCCCACCCCAACCCCCAUUGGGUUAAUUUACCCACACCUACUUCCACAAAUGUCUUGGAAAGAUAGGGCUCUCUUAAAAAAACGCACAAGGCUGUUAUGAUCAGACCUACACACAUGAACAAGUCCUUAAUGCCACUUAAUAUCCAUCAGAUGAAAUCUUUCCUAUUGUCCCAUAAAUGCCUUUCUACAACCGUUUAUGCAAAUCAGGAUCCACCAGACAAGUUCUUUAAUUUAUCCCAGCCUCCCCUGUCUCUGUUUAUUUAAAAAAAGGCCAUGUACAGAAGGGCACGGUGGCACAAGCCUGUCAUCCCAGCUGCUGAGAAGACUGAGGCAGGAGAAUGGCUAGUUUGAGACAAGCCUGGGCAGAUUAAUAAAACCCUGUCUAACAAUAAAAUAAGAAGGGCUGAGGGUGUAGCUCCCAGGUAGAAUGCUCACCUAGCAUGCAUGAGCCCUGGGCUCUAUCCCCAGCACGAGACAGAGAGAAAGAGAGAGAGAGAGAGAUUCAGUAAACACGGAUGGAUAAGGCUGAAGCCCAUGUAGCAUGGCAUGCUACACAGGAAACUUUUAUAGUCAUCUACUGUCACUAUUAAGUAUGUACUGUGAUUUUAUGUGCUGUACUUUGAUGUGUCUGGUAGUAGAGUGAGUUUGUUUACAGCAGCAUCACCCUAUGUGGGUGAGUGACAUCAUGACAACGACACCCCAGAACUAGGCAAGGAACUUUGUCGGCUCCAUGACAAUCUUAUGGGACCAGUAGGGGUUGACUACCAUCGGCCAUCAGCACAUAUUCAGUCCCUUGCUGACCAAGAUGUCCAUGCAUGGUGUGUGACUGUAAUCUUUCAGAAGUGACACCACAUGCUUCCUGUUGCAUCUUAUCAGGAGGCAUGCGACCUCUGAUCCUUUCUGUGAAUUUACAAGAAAUCAGUCCUCUUGGGUGCUGUUGGUUUGACGUGUCCUUUAUAGGUUUCCCACAAACCUUUCCCCUCACGGUGUUGGCAGCCGUCAACAGACCAUCAUUUCACCAGGACCUGCAGAGUGGUGACACACCCUCUUAUCCUGUCCUCGUUUUCCAGGUGCAACUCCCCCAGAUCACUCUUUACCCUCAUUACUUAUUUCCUUAGAAUGAGGUUUGUGCAGGAAAGGCAGAAGAAAUACUUGAUCCUUUCUCUUUAAAAAUAAUUAAUUUUUUGAAAGUUUUCAAAAGAAUGUGUUGGUUCCCUGGCAACUUCCAAAGGUGACACAUGAGUUUUUAAAAAUAAAAACUCAACAUUUGGCUGGUUUCCUGCCAUGUUGGCCAUUGCGAGUGUUAUUAUUACCACUAUUCUUAAGCUGCAGAGCUGGGGAUAGAACCCAGGGCUUCACGCCUGCCAGCCCUGUGCUCUGCCACUGAGCUUCACCAAUUGUCCCAUCACUAACCCAAAGGAACCUUGUUGAUGUGGCCCCUUCUUGUACGAUUUUGGAAAUUUGGGGACAACUUCCUUGCUUUUUGGCAUAAGAGACGUCCAAACCACCUUACAUUUUUCCUUACCCCAGCCCUGGGACCAUCCAUAUCUCCAGGACACCCGGGGUCCUUGGAGACCCCUAUCUGGAACUAGGUUUAUUGCUUUGGAGAUGGGGUUGUGAACAGGGCUUAUCAGCAAAUGGAUGGAGGUGAUAUCUGUUUUCUUUUUGAUAGAGAAAACGCAUCAUGAGUUCACACAGAUAUUUCCAAUACAAGUGUAUGAUUACAGGGUUUUUGAAAAAUAUAUUUUAGUUUUUGAUAGACCUUUAUUUAUUUAGACAUGGUUCUGAGAAUCGAACCCAGUGCCUCACACGUGCCAGGCAAUUGUGCUACCACUGAGCCCCAGCCCCAGCCCUGAUUACAGGGUUUUAAGCUGUGCUUACUUAUCUUAUAAUUGCAUCUCUUUUCUACUAUGCUGGAAAUUUGUAAUUACAUUAACAUCAUUUCUUAUCUAUAAAGCAGCAGGCUUUAUAGAUAAGGCUGAGGAGCACGGAAGGGUGUGGGGACUCUAUGUGACCCUGAGGAUGGAUGUAUGCCAUGUGAGUGUAGGUGACAGAGUAUGUGUGUGUCUAUGUGACAGUCACAUGUAUGCAUGAGUAUAUAAACACCAAACUUUUUUUCUUAGGAGAGAAUCUAUAUAUUCUUAAUAUUAUCAAAAGGGUUUUCAACCUUGGCACCACUGACAUUUUGGUUUAGAUAAUUCUCAGUGUUGGGACAUGUCCUGUGCCCUGUAGGAUAUUCUGCAGCAUCCCUGGCCUCAGGCCCUGGACUCCCAUAGCACCUUUUCAAUGGGAGGGUCAAAAAUGUCUCCAGACAUUGCCAAAUUUCCUCUGGUUAGGGUCCACUGGUCUAGGACACCAAGAAGAUCCUGCAUCCAUCUGACAGGAUGGAAUUUCUAUAGCAUUCCUACAGUUAUGGGGAAUUGCUUUGGGAAAUGUGUAGGACUACAGUAGUUGCAUUAAUUUGCUAGGGCUGACAUGGGCCACCCACUGGGUGGCUAACCCAGUUGCUAAUGCGUUACUUCCUCACAGUCCUGGAGAUCCAGGUCCUGGCAGGGCUGGUCUCUUUGGAAGGCUGUGAGGGAGAAUCUGCUCUAAGCCUCUCUCCCGCUUCUGGUAGGUGGCUGGCUCUUUCUGGCGUCCCUUGGUUGUAGAAGUGUCAUCCUGAGCUCGCCUUUCGUCACACAUAUGCGCCUGUGUCCAAAUUUCCCUUUUGUAAGGAUGCCAGGCACACUGGAUUAGAGCCUGCCCUGGUGACCUCAUUGGUAAAAACCUAUUUCCAAAUAAGGGGAAAUUUGGAGGUUCCAGGGUUUAGGACUUCAGUGUAUCUUUUUGAGGGGAACACGAUGCCACCCAUAUCAUCGAUGAUACUGCUGUCCCCAGAAGCAGGUGGCAUAGUGCAGUGGCUGAGUCGGGACACUUGGAGCCACACUUCCAGGGUAUUGCUUGCAUGUUUGCUGUUUCUUCUCUGUGUCUGAGACAAUGUCUGCAGCCGCUCCCGGGAUGUCUGGGAAGAAGAAAUGAGUCAACAUUUGGGAAGCCCUGGGCCUGUGGCUGACACGGGUACGUGCUGUGUGAGGGUUACGUGGUGAACACCACAGCGGUCAUUUUGGUGGCAGCCCAGGUUGCCGAGAGCGUUAGCACAUGGGGUGCAGUGAAUCCCCCCAGUCAGGAGCCUGCUCAUCUUGUCCACGUUGCAGAGCAAGCCCACCUAGGGAGGAGCACCAAGGGGCACUUGCAGUUAGUAAUUGCCUUUUAGGUGCCAGACACCGGGGCAGAACUCCACAGGACUCCUUGGUGUCCAUUACCGCCCUGCAAAAGGGAUCUUGCUAUCUCCAUCUUCCUAAGGAGGAAUGUAAGGUGUGCAGGCCUGGACAGACUGACCGUUCCUCUCGGAGCCCAGACUUUCUCUUCUUCCUCUCCACUCCUCUCUCACCUCCUGCCCAUGAAGAGCAAAGAGGUCCCUUCCCUUCCUACUCUUUUCCCCUUCCACAGCCUUGCCUGGUGGGCGGAGCCUGGGCUGGGCAUGAAGAGGCUGCUGGCCUCCUCCCACUCAGCCUCCACGAGCCAGGCUGUGGAAUGGGGCCAAGGCACCAGUGCCCACCCUAAGUGCAAAGACGCUAUGACCAUUCCGGGAAUCCCAGCCAGAGCUAAGGACGGGAAGGCACUUUGUGAGGUGUCUGCGACCUGCCCAGCUUUUCAGAGAAGAGCCCCGGGUCACCUUCUCUUCUUCAAAUUGGCAGAUGGACUCUGGUCUCAAGGUCAACAAGUCUCCGACAACAGAGCUGCAGCCACACAAUGUUUCUUCUUUUAAAAAAAUCCUCAAUGUCAGGUGCAAAGUCCGUUAACUUGGGUGCCUAUUUGCAAGAUUGGAUUCUCUAUCUCGGUUUAAAUUCAGCUACUUAUGGAAACAUGGCGGAGUCCACCACGGUGUGAUGGGCUGCAAAGGGGGGAAAAUGGAUGGAGGGCUGGGCGGGGCUCAGCUCUGUCCCCAAGUUGUCUAAUGGCAGCAGAGUCAAGUCCCAGGCCCUCUUGCUCCUGGCUCUCAGCUCUGUGCUCUGGUCACACCAGCCAUGCACCUCUCAGCCCCUCAGUCUCUGGUUCUUUGUGCCUUGGGCUUUCCUCACGCUGUCCCCAGGUUGGACAGUCCUCCUUCUUUCUGACUAGCUGUCUGCCACUCUUCACACAGCAGCUCAGAGUCACUGCCGACCCCAGGGGAGAGGCUGCAAGGACACUGCCUAUGGACCUCCUCUCACCCCCCUUGCUGUGUAUCCCUUCACCCUGGUUUGUGGGAUGGAUCCAUUAAUGUCUGCUACCUGCUCUGGGGGGUCAGAGACCAGGUGGGGCUUCCCUCUCGACCCCAGAGCCCGGGACAGGGCUGGGAACGCGGACUGCUUGCUUAACAUCUGCUCAGUUGACAGAGAGCUACUGCCUCUAUAAAGGGAGGGGGGUGGCCUUGUGUUCCCCUGGUGCCAACAGCCUGUGCCAGGUCACAGGUGUGGGUCUACAAGCCAACAGUAAUAAUAGCUGACACUUAAGGAGCCCUGCUAGGUGCCUGACGCUGCUGUAAGUGCUUUAUUUGCAUCUACUAAACUUUAUGUUCUCCCCAAUAACCCACAAGACAGAUGCCAUCAUUAAUCCUGCUACUUUUAAAUUUUUAAUUAAAAUAAUUUCAGACUUGAAAGAAUGUUGCAAAAAUUAUUCAAAGGGUCUGCCUAUCCUUUCACCCAUCACUCUGAUGGGUGAACGUCUUGCAUACCACCACGCCACCUUUAAACCCAGGUCCUUGACCCUGAUACAACCCAUUCACAAAUCCUCAGGACUUGUUUAAAUUUUCCAGUUUUUCCCAUUCACGCCCUUUUGUGGGUCCAGGCUCCAAUGCAGGACCCCACUCAGCACAUGGUAUGUCCUGUCUCCUUAGAGCCUCUAACGCAGGACCAUCUCUUCAUCCUUCCUUGUCUUUCGCCACCUUGACACUUUUGAAGCGUCUCUGGCAGAUACUCUCCCUGUGCACUGGACUUGUGUCGCCUUAUGUUCAAAUUCAGAUUCUGAAUUUUUAUUAAGAAAGUCCCAGAAGAGAGGCCGAGCCUGCUGUGUGCGUCGGAUCAGGAGGUCGAUGUUGCAUGAAGGCUGAUUUCAAGAUUCGUCAACUUACAGGGAAGAGUUGAGAAGCUCAGUUAAAAUGCAGCCAAGAGACUUAGAAUGUGUGGGUGCUGCAGGCAGGGGCAACAGGGGAAGGGGGGAUAUGAGAACAUUACGUAUCUGGGGCACAGUGACUGGUCCCCAGCCCUGCAGUCAGCCAGGAAAGGAAAAGGGAGAGGACAGAGGGUGGUAGAGAGGGGCAGCCAGGGCAAAGGGCAGAGAUGGCCUCUGUGGUCACAGGGCGGGGGCCGGGGCACCCAGGCACAUAGGGCCGUGCUCAGGAUAGGGCCCUGGCCAGACUAAACAAGACCACAGCCAGGCUCUGGCUUGGGUGAAACUUCGUCCCCAAGGCUGAAGUCGGUGAUACUGGUGGUUGUCUGGGGCUUGGCCUCAGGCUGGGCCUGCUUGGGGGUCACAUGCAGGAGAGUCCAGGCCUGGCUAGGUGCCAGUGCCUGAGUGAGACCCAAGUGGCCUCUCCGAGCCCUCCGUAUUCGGCUCUACUCAUGAGGGGAGGGGGAAUGCUGGGGUGAGCCUGGGCCCUCAUUGGGACCCCUUGAGGGCUCCCCUCACCGGAGCUGCUCAUGGGUGGAGGGGGCGAGGGACGGCACCAGGUGCCUGCAUCAGGGCCGUGUGCAUAUUUAGUGCAGCCCCUCCCCUUUCAUACUGGGGUCCACUGGGGUCCCUGGCUCUGUCCAGCUCCCUCUCUGACCUGUCUUCUCCUUCUCCCUCUCCCUCUCUCUUCCCUGGGACUCUCUCUCUUUCUCUCUAGAGGAGGAAGGAGACAGAGACAGCCCCUGCAGGCCCCGCUUGCUGUCCUCCCCGCUCUGUGCAUCCUGCCCAGCCCAUCUGCCCUCCUUCCUUGUCCCCUCCCAGCAGGACUGGCGGCCCCCAUCCAGCCAGGUCGGCCCUUCCUGCGCCGCAGGUGCUGGGGCACAAGCCACCCCUGCUUCCCUUCCUCUCCGGGCAGCAGGCCCGCUGUGCCCAGGCGCGGUGACGGAUGGAGAGGAUUUAACCCCUGGACUCCUCACGGUCAUGGGCAGGGCCAGUCAAUCAGCCCCCUGUAUGGAUGAGAAUCCCCCCUCUCUGCCGCUUUCCGGUCCCCCUUGGGUCUCCAGGACUCACAGUCCCAUCUGUGGCUGUCACCCAAGCCCGGUUCCCUGCCCAGGCCUCCCUUCUCAUCCCACCUUGGCUUCUUCUCUAAAUCCCACCACGAGGGGCUCCGGCUUAAUCUGCACUGUGUAUGCUUCUCUCUGAUUUUGCAGGCUGUUUAUUUGCCGGUCACCCAUGUGGGACAUGUGGGACGGGGUGUGACCCACACGAAGAGCCAAAGCUUCACUUGACCUGGGAGUGAGUCAGACUGGCCCAUGACCUCCUUCAGCACUAGCAUCGCCCACCUGAUUCCUCCUCUUCCUGGCACCUUAAACUUCAAAUUGUACAUUUAUCCUUGGGGACCUGCCCACCGUGGUGGCCUGUCUAGGUUACAGAUGCCCAGUCUGUCACCUGGGGUCCUGGCAUUCCCUCCCUGCCCCAAGCCCCUGAGUAUGUGUGGGCUUCACCUCCCCCACCCAGACUGAGCCAGGGCCCUGGGGCAGUGAGGGAGAGGGCAGGGCCAGGUGGACCCUUCUCCAGGUGCAGACAGCCCUAUGUCAGCACCUCUGGGUGGGGCUGUCCCCCACCCGGCUGACGUUGGUGCCAUCUUUGUGUGCACGGGCUUUGGGAAGAAUCCUCUGGCUGAUGGGAGGCAGAGUGAGCGCCUCGAAGCUUCCUCAGCACUCUGUCAUUGCAAGGGCGUGUCCUCUGCAACUCCUCACAUUGGUGCCUCUGUUCUCCCUGUCCCAUCUUUGUCCCUCCUCUGUCGGGCCAUCUUGUGUCUUCCCUGGCCCUGUGCAUACUGACCUUUCCCACUUCUCAUUCACCUCUCUGGUCACCUGUGCCCAUCUGCCCUGCACAGAUCCUGGCUUUCAAGGGCUCACACUGUAGCCGACUUCUGUCGGCUGUGACCUCGCUGAUGUCGCUCCCCUGCGGGUUGGACAGUGGGGACUGACUGCCUGGCCUCAGGGCUUGCUCUCACAGGCCCAUGUCUCCUUGCUUCUUGCUCCUGAGGCUGGGACAACGACUUGCCAUAUUUCUAUGCUCUACCUGUGAUGUCCAGCCACAGCCUUUGCAGGGCUUUCUCUGCAGGGCUCCUCAGUACUACGCCCAGGGACGGAUCCCAGACAACGGAAGAACAGAAUAAGGAGGCCCUCAGUCCCUGACCAGCCUCCACCCGAGGGGUGGGGAGCAUUUGCCCUAGAUGCAAGGCCUCUGUGAGUUUCGCAUAUAAUUGAUGGCCUUCCACGUCCAGCCAUGCAUCGCUUAUCAACGGGGACAUUCUGAGAAAUGCGUCCACAGCCUGGACAUCACAGAGUGCACCUAGACGGCAGGGCCUGCCAAUCCCCUCGGCUAUACGGUAGACACAAUUGCUAAUGUCCUCUGCGAUCAGCUUGUCCAGUCUCCAAAAAUUCAUCUGCCCUCACAUCAGGACUCGUGGACUUGGAGUUGACAUUCAUAUCAUGCGACGAAUAACGACUCUUGAAUCACUCCAACCGCCCAGAGCUGGCAGUCAACAUUGCAAACAAACGUUUGGCUUUAGCCAUGACCACCGUGUGCCGAGAGGGACGCGCUCCUGAGUCAUGUUCUCCGUCCUGGUCAGCAGCAGUUUCUCUGCAUCGGAUCUGAAUUUUUUUGCCCAUUUCGUGGCCUCAAGGAAGCAGAGACUUGAACAGCUUCCAUCACUUGCUCUUGCCUCAAGACUGCAGAGACGGUGGAGAGGGACAGGCCUGCGUGGCCAGCGAUGACCAGCGCUGAUUGCCACCUUCCUAGUCCCUAAUCACUUUGACCUCGGUUUCCAGGUCCAUCACUUGACCAGCAGUGGGUCUCACACGCUCAGAGGCUAGGAUGAGCAGAGCAACCUGAGACUGACAGAGCCGAGAGAAAAUGUUGCCAUCAGGAGCCGGUAAAUGAGAGAUGUGUGACACUGCGGCCGGCCACCGUCACGUGGGGUCCCUCGCUACGGAAGCAUCGCUGUGUGGCUCGUGCCUACGCUCUUUUUACUCUGGGAGGAGAUGAGAUCCCCCUCGUGAAGCACUUGCAGCCCUCCUGGGUGUGGCGAGCCCUCAACAGAUGCUCCCCAUUGCUGUUACCAUCACAGCUUCCUGAGAGGUUGGACCACACAAAACUGCCAUCUUUGGAGGUCAGAAGUGGUCAAAUGCUGGUGGAUCCAUACAGCUCAGCACAGUACUUACCCCGCAAAAUUGUUCUGCUUUGUUCAUUAAAUCAAUGGGUUUUCUUUCUUUCUUUUUUCUUUCUCUUUCCCUCCCUCCCUCCUUCCUUCCCUCCCUCCUUCCCUCCUUCCUUCCC